UCCGUAGGUGAACCUGCGGAAGGAUCAUUAUCGUGGGGCUUCGGCCCCGUCGAGAUAGAACCCUUGCCUUUUGAGUACCGUCCGUUUCCUCGGCAGGUCCGCCUGCCAGGACACAAAACAAACCCUUUUUUACCUGUAACAGUCUGAAAAACAAACAAAAAUUAAAACUUUCAACAACGGAUCUCUUGGUUCUGGCAUCGAUGAAGAACGCAGCGAAAUGCGAUAAGUAAUGCGAAUUGCAGAAUCCGUGAGUCAUCGAAUCUUUGAACGCACAUUGCGCCCUCUGGUAUUCCGGGGGGCAUGCCUGUUCGAGCGUCAUUAUCACCCCUCAAGCCCGGCUUGUUGUUGGACGUCGGCGGCGGCCUUUAGUGGCGUACCGCCCGUCUCAAAGAUAAUGACGGCGUCUGUGAGGACACCUGUACACUGAGCUUUCGGGCACGUACUAGGCUGAUACUUGCAGACCCGGUCUUCGGGUUCGCUUCGGCGUCCCCAACUUUUUACCAAGGUUGACCUCGGAUCAGGUAGGAAUACCCGCUGAACUUAAGCAUAUCAAUAAGGCGGGAGGGGAAGGUCGGACUGGCCAAGGGCACACAGGGGGGGAUA
rnacentral:rRNA from 1 species